UGGGGAAUAUUGGACAAUGGGCGAAAGCCUGAUCCAGCCAUGCCGCGUGUGUGAAGAAGGUCUUCGGAUUGUAAAGCACUUUAAGUUGGGAGGAAGGGCAGUAAGCGAAUACCUUGCUGUUUUGACGUUACCGACAGAAUAAGCACCGGCUAACUCUGUGCCAGCAGCCGCGGUAAUACAGAGGGUGCAAGCGUUAAUCGGAAUUAAUGGGCGUAAAGCGCGCGUAGGUGGUUCGUUAAGUUGAAUGUGAAAGCCCCGGGCUCAACCUGGGAACUGCAUCCAAAACUGGCGAGCUAGAGUAGGGCAGAGGGUGGUGGAAUUUCCUGUGUAGCGGUGAAAUGCGUAGAUAUAGGAAGGAACACCAGUGGCGAAGGCGACCACCUGGGCUCAUACUGACACUGAGGUGCGAAAGCGUGGGGAGCAAACAGG
rnacentral:rRNA from 1 species